AGUAACGCGUGAGGAACCUGCCUCAAAGAGGGGGACAACAGUUGGAAACGACUGCUAAUACCGCAUAAGCCCACGGUGCCGCAUGGCACAGAGGGAAAAGGAGCAAUCCGCUUUGAGAUGGCCUCGCGUCCGAUUAGCUAGUCGGUGAGGUAACGGCCCACCAAGGCGACGAUCGGUAGCCGGACUGAGAGGUUGAACGGCCACAUUGGGACUGAGACACGGCCCAG
rnacentral:rRNA from 1 species